GAUCAUGGCUCAGGAUGAACGCUAGCUACAGGCUUAACACAUGCAAGUCGAGGGGCAGCAUUGGAGUAGCAAUACUUCAGAUGGCGACCGGCGCACGGGUGAGUAACACGUAUCCAACCUGCCGCUUACUCGGGGAUAGCCUUUCGAAAGAAAGAUUAAUACCCGAUGGUAUAGAGAGUUCGCAUGUUCUCUUUAUUAAAGAAUUUCGGUAAGCGAUGGGGAUGCGUUCCAUUAGAUAGUUGGCGGGGUAACGGCCCACCAAGUCUACGAUGGAUAGGGGUUCUGAGAGGAAGGUCCCCCACAUUGGAACUGAGACACGGUCCAAACUCCUACGGGAGGCAGCAGUGAGGAAUAUUGGUCAAUGGACGCGAGUCUGAACCAGCCAAAGUAGCGUGAAGGAUGACUGCCCUAUGGGUUGUAAACUUCUUUUAUAAGGGAAUAAAGUGAGGGACGUGUCCCUUUUUGUAUGUACCUUAUGAAUAAGGAUCGGCUAACUCCGUGCCAGCCGCCGC
rnacentral:rRNA from 1 species